UACGGAGGGUGCAAGCGUUAUCCGGAUUCACUGGGUUUAAAGGGUGCGUAGGCGGCGCGGUAAGUCGGGUGUGAAAUCUUGGAGCUUAACUCCGAAACUGCAUUCGAUACUGCCGUGCUUGAGGACUGGAGAGGAGACUGGAAUUUACGGUGUAGCGGUGAAAUGCGUAGAUAUCGAGAGGAACACCUGCGGCGAAGGCGGGUUGCUGGGCUGACACUGACGCUGAUGCGCGAAAGCUAGGGGAGCGAACGGG
rnacentral:rRNA from 1 species